GAGGGGCGGCAGGGCUCUGAGCCUGGCGGGUUCCGGCUAUUCCCUUCGCGGUCCAGUUUAGUCCAGUGCGAGGGCACCUGCAGCGCCGGGAUCUGAGUGCGAAACUCCGAGCGGAAGCUGGUCUGGCAGGUCCUCUGGAGCUUGGGGCCAGGCGGGGGCGACUUGGGGGAGCCAUCCUUGGGCUCCCAGACGGACCUCCAGGACCACUGGCUGCCCAUGAGAGACGAAGGAUGGCAUCCAAGGGGGCCGGCGUGUCUUUCUCCCGCAAGAGCUGUAGGCUGACCUCAGAUGCUGAGAAAUCCAGGGUCACAGGCAUUGUGCAGGAGAAGCUGCUGAAUGACUACCUGAACCGCAUCUUUCCUCUUCUGACCAUGCACCCCCAGCAGCCACCGGCAGUUACUCGGGAGGCUGAGGCAGGAGAAUCGCUUGAACCGGAGAGGCGGACGUUGCAGUGAGCCGAGGUCAAACCAGCGCACUCCAGCCUGGGCAACAGAGCGAGACUCCAUCUGAAAAAGAAACAAAAACAAAAAAAAUUUUUAGUGACAGAGCUGGG